UACGGAGGGUGCAAGCGUUAUCCGGAUUCACUGGGUUUAAAGGGUGCGUAGGUGGGCAGGUAAGUCAGUGGUGAAAUCCCCGAGCUUAACUUGGGACUGCCGUUGAUACUAUCUGUCUUGAAUAUCGUGGAGGUUAGCGGAAUAUGUCAUGUAGCGGUGAAAUGCAUAGAGAUGACAUAGAACACCAAUGCGAAGGCAGCUGGCUACACGGUAAUUGACACUGAGGCACGAAAGCGUGGGGAGCAAACAGG
rnacentral:rRNA from 1 species